AUGAAAUUUGAGAUGAAGGAUUUGGAUAAAACCAAAUUUUGCUUAGGUAUUCAACUUGAGCACCUUACCUCGAAAAUCAUGGUGCAUCAAGCUGCUUAUAUCCAAAAAAUAUUGAAGAAAUUCAAUAUGGACAAAUCCUACCCAUCUAAAACUCCCAUGGUGGUUCGCUCUCUAGAUGUACAGAAAGAUCCGUUCAGGCCAAGGGAUGACGGAGAAGAAAUAUUGGGACCCGAGGUUCCAUAUCUCAGUGCCAUUGGAGCGCUUGCGUAUCUCGCAAAUUGCACGAGACCUAACCUCGCAUUUGCCAUGAAUCUACUUGGUAGACAUAGCGCAAGGCACAAAGGAUCUUGGCCCAUUUUUCCAGUUCCAAAGAAUCGAGACUAA
rnacentral:rRNA from 1 species